UACGUAGGGGGCAAGCGUUGUCCGGAUUUACUGGGCGUAAAGAGCGUGUAGGCGGCCAAGCAGGUCCGUUGUGAAAACUGGAGGCUUAACCUCCAGACGUCGACGGAAACCGCGUGGCUAGAGUCCGGAAGAGGAGAGUGGAAUUCCUGGUGUAGCGGUGAAAUGCGCAGAUAUCAGGAAGAACACCAAUGGCGAAGGCAGCUCUCUGGGACGGUACUGACGCUGAGACGCGAAAAGCGUGGGGGAGCAAACAGG
rnacentral:rRNA from 1 species